AACUAUUUAAAUGAACUUGACAAAACAUGAGAACUUUAUAUAUAAAGUGAUCAAACAAUCUUCUACUUAUUAAAUGCAAAGGGGACAAAAUAUGGCUCAAAAUAAAUAUUUGUUUUGUGCUUUUAUCAUCUUUCUUUCUCUAUUUUUUGUCCUAACUAAAAGUUCUAUUCCCUGCAAGACACGUACUCAAUGUCCAGAGAAAAUGUGUCGUCUUCCUAAAUUUGUGUGGUGUAUUGAUGGUUCUUGUGUAUGCGCGUAAGUGUAACAAAUAAGUUGAAAAAUAAAUCGUUAUUUAAAAUAAGUUGAAAAAUAAAUGAGUAGUGAUAUAUGAACAUCCAUUUGAAGACAAUUUUGAUGAUAACUUUGUUUUUCUCACUUUUUAUUGGUCAAAAACAAUGGAGAGAGAAAAAGGAAGAGAGAUGAAAAGAAGAUAAUGUGAGUAUGAGAGAGAGUUGUCAAAAAGUUGUCAUAAAAUGAUUGUAAAAAUAUCAUUUCUCAAAAUAAAUCUAUAUUACUUGUAACUUUACAAUUUUAUUUGUACAUCAUAAUAUUUGUAAUCUUAAAAUCUCCAUCAUACUUUUAUUUGUUUCUUUGACCA